rnacentral:rRNA from 1 species
CACGGGUGAGUAACACGUAUGCAAUCCACCUGUAACAGGGGAUAACCCGGAGAAAUCCGGACUAAUACCCCAUAAUAUGGGCGCUCCGCAUGGAGAGUCCAUUAAAGAGAGCAAUCUUGGUUACAGACGAGCAUGCGCUCCAUUAGCCAGUUGGCGGGGUAACGGCCCACCAAGGCGACGAUGGAUAGGGGUUCUGAGAGGAAGGUCCCCCACAUUGGAACUGAGACACGGUCCAA